rnacentral:rRNA from 1 species
GAUUGAACGCUGGCGGCAGGCCUAACACAUGCAAGUCGAGCGGUAGAGAGGUGCUUGCACCUCUUGAGAGCGGCGGACGGGUGAGUAAUGCCUAGGAAUCUGCCUGGUAGUGGGGGAUAACGUCCGGAAACGGACGCUAAUACCGCAUACGUCCUACGGGAGAAAGCAGGGGACCUUCGGGCCUUGCGCUAUCAGAUGAGCCUAGGUCGGAUUAGCUAGUUGGUGGGGUAAAGGCUCACCAAGGCGACGAUCCGUAACUGGUCUGAGAGGAUGAUCAGUCACACUGGAACUGAGACACGGUCCAGACUCCUACGGGAGGCAGCAGUGGGGAAUAUUGGACAAUGGGCGAAAGCCUGAUCCAGCCAUGCCGCGUGUGUGAAGAAGGUCUUCGGAUUGUAAAGCACUUUAAGUUGGGAGGAAGGGUCGUUACCUAAUACG